rnacentral:rRNA from 1 species
GAGUUUGAUCCUGGCUCAGAUUGAACGCUGGCGGCAGGCCUAACACAUGCAAGUCGAGCGGUAGAGAGAAGCUUGCUUCUCUUGAGAGCGGCGGACGGGUGAGUAAUGCCUAGGAAUCUGCCUGGUAGUGGGGGAUAACGCUCGGAAACGGACGCUAAUACCGCAUACGUCCUACGGGAGAAAGCAGGGGACCUUCGGGCCUUGCGCUAUCAGAUGAGCCUAGGUCGGAUUAGCUAGUUGGUGAGGUAAUGGCUCACCAAGGCGACGAUCCGUAACUGGUCUGAGAGGAUGAUCAGUCACACUGGAACUGAGACACGGUCCAGACUCCUACGGGAGGCAGCAGUGGGGAAUAUUGGACAAUGGGCGAAAGCCUGAUCCAGCCAUGCCGCGUGUGUGAAGAAGGUCUUCGGAUUGUAAAGCACUUUAAGUUGGGAGGAAGGCAGUAAAUUAAUACUUUGCUGUUUUGACGUUACCGACAGAAUAAGCACCGGCUAACUCUGUGCCAGCCGCCG